rnacentral:lncRNA from 1 species
CCCAUUGCCAAUUCACAAAAACCUCUCUUCUUCUUCUUCUUCUUUCUUUAACCCCAACAUUAUUUUUCCAUAGAUCUUCUUCUUUGAUGUUCUUGUUCUUUAUUAAAAAAGAUUGAUGAAGAAAGACAAGAACAAUUGGAGAUUGACCCUUGCACCAUUGAGAAACAUUUGUCCGUAAUUUGCUAAAUUGAUUUGUGCAUCACAUCAAGGGAGAUAUUCAGUCUAUUUGUCACUGCUGGUAAGUAACGAUGGUGUUUAAGCUUAUUUUUUUUCGUCUGCAGAUAUUGCAAGUUUUCUUCGAUUUCUUAAACAUUCUGUGAGAUGUUUAAAAUAUUCUGAUAUAUUUGUAGGUAGUUGUUUCAAACAUCCUGAAAAUCCAAUCAAGAUGUUUUAAACAUCCUCUUAGGAUAUUUCAAACAUCCUAAGUAUAUUCUCAAGAUGUUUUAAACAUCUUCUUAGAAUGUUUGAAACUUCAUUAGGAUGUUUGCAAAAAACUUGAUUCUUUAAAUCAAUUAUUUAUAUAUUUGUGAUAUCUUUAGGUAUUACAAUCAUAAAAAGAUUAAUUAUAUAGUAUGAGAGUUGAUUGUCACGGUGAAUGAGAAGAGUGCUCUACUCAUUUUACCUGGCGUUCGAAGAGUAAAGAGACGGUUCUAAAUAAAAGUGCGUACAAAUGUUACGUAUGAUGAGUUUGUUGAUAAGAUUAUUAGUGGUUGUGAAUUAAUUUGUUAUCCGAGUGAUGUCUCCAUGACUUACAUGCAUAGCAUUGGUGAAAAGCACAAGAAAGUAGCUCCCUUUAAAAUAAAGAAUUAUGAUUAUUUGAGCUAUUAUUUGGAAGAUGAAAAUAGGCCCAUUCUAAGGGUAUCUAUGCCGAGCGCAAAACACAAUAGAAAAUUUAUGCUCGCUAGUCAAAUAUAGUAUAGUUUAAUUAUCAUCUCCACAGGGAUUUGAUUUAAAUAAUGUUCAAGUAAUUUUUGGCUUAAACGCUAUUCGAGAUGAUCAACACUUUGAUUGAGAAUGAUUAUUGUUACAUCUCGCAUUUUCAUAUGUUAAAAGCUUCGUCUUCAGUUAAUUGAUAUAGACUCGGGGAUGAGAUCAUCUUGACGUUAACAUAUUUAUGCUAUUUAUAACAAGCAAUCAAGAAGUGUCAUGAAGGAUAAAGGGGUACACGAAUUAAAGAAAACGAGUUUCGUUGAAAGUGGCCAAUUUGAGAUAAAAUACGGGUCGAGCAAUAAUACCCGAUGAUUAUGAACUAGUACCAUGCAAGGUACCAUAUGACCAUGGUAGUAUAAUAUAUAAAGUAUAUUAAAAAUAAAUAGAAUUUUAAGUAAUUUGUGACAAAUUUUAAAUUAUGCGGGUAAUUGGUUAAUUAUCGGGUAACGGAACAUUACCCAAUUAACUAAGAAGUAGAUAAAAAUUAACAAAAUUACACCCCAAAAGAAAUGUGGCAGCCCCCUUUUAGUUUAAUGUGACUCAUUAUCCAUCUUUACAUGUGUCACAUUAAGAUUUAAGUGGCAAUCAUUUAAGAUUGGAGUAAAUUCUCCAUUUUCUUGCAUGACAUCAUCCUAAUCAUUUGAACCAAAGGCUACUGCAGAACCCAUAACGAGCUUAUAAGCAUUAUCCAUGAAUCUUUCCUUCAAAAACGUUCUGUCUGUGGUCCACAAGAAAUAUUACAAACAGAAGCUAAAUGACUCACUUUGAUAUAUAUAUAUAUAUAUAUAAUCUUCUUCAAAACCGUUAGAAACAGAAGCAAAUUUUCCAACGAGAAUUUGUUGGAAUAGUAGCAACGUGGAAUUUUGCGGUUCUAGAAGAGUACGGUGCAAUCUUCGCCAAGAAUAUUAUACGAAGUUUUCCUGCUCCAGGUAUGUUAAGGUCAUCCCUUCUUUCUUUUGUCAUGGUCCAAAUUAUACUGAAGAAACGAGCAAACACACAAUUUCCAUAAAUUACUCUUUUCAUAGAAAUAUUAGGGGUGUCUAUAUUCUUAAUUCCCCAUGUGAAUUAUUAUUAUCUUCUGUUCAUGGGUCUCAAAAGGAAUAUUGAGAUUUUUAUGUAUUUUUCAUGCAUUUCACCCAUUUAUACAUGUGCAUUGACCCAUGACCAGAUGACGUUAUAUACGCGUAUAUAUGUAAAUAUAUGUAUAUGGGAUAUGGGAAAAGGUUACAACGUUAUAUACGCACCACCACCUGAUCAGCUGGUACAUGUUGAUGAUGUUGCCCACAGUGGCCGAGACGAUAUGAUGGGAUGCCCUCAGUUACUUGAUGAUAUUAUGUACACCUAUACCUAUGCAUGACACGAUUUUUAUACGCAUGUGCAUGACAUUAUAAAUGUUUCAGAAUUUACAAAAUUAUUUAGAUUUAAAGAUGUGUUUCUUUAUUCCAUGUUUCACCUAUGUCUUUUAUGUACUAAUUUCAUGCCUUACAUACUCAGUACAUUUUUCGUAUUGACGCCCUAUUUCAUGGGACCUGCGUUUCAUACCCGCAGGUGCAGGUAGGCAAGUUGACGGUCCCCCUUCUUAGGAUCCCUAAUCAGCGAGAGUUGGCGUGC